UGCUGGGUAGCUCAUUUGGUAGAGCAGGAGUCUCUUAAUCUCAUGGUUGUGAGUUUGAGCCGCACGUUCGGCAA